rnacentral:rRNA from 1 species
AUUGAACGCUGGCGGCAGGCCUAACACAUGCAAGUCGAGCGGAUGAGAGGAGCUUGCUCCUUGAUUUAGCGGCGGACGGGUGAGUAGUGCCUAGGAAUCUGCCCAGUAGUGGGGGAUAACGUUCCGAAAGGAACGCUAAUACCGCAUACGUCCUACGGGAGAAAGCAGGGGACCUUCGGGCCUUGCGCUAUUGGAUGAGCCUAGGUCGGAUGAGCUAGUUGGUGAGGUAAUGGCUCACCAAGGCGACGAUCCGUAACUGGUCUGAGAGGAUGAUCAGUCACACUGGAACUGAGACACGGUCCAGACUCCUACGGGAGGCAGCAGUGGGGAAUAUUGGACAAUGGGCGAAAGCCUGAUCCAGCCAUGCCGCGUGUGUGAAGAAGGUCUUCGGAUUGUAAAGCACUUUAAGUUGGGAGGAAGGGCAGUAAGCGAAUACCUUGCUGUUUUGACGUUACCGACAGAAUAAGCACCGGCUAACUUCGUGCCAGCCGCCGCAGUAAGAC